rnacentral:rRNA from 1 species
UACAGAGGGUGCUAGCGUUGUUCGGAAUCAUUGGGCGUAAAGAGCGUGUAGGCGGUUGGGUAGGUCCGUUGUGAAAACUCGAGGCUCAACCUCGAGACGCCGAUGGAAACCCCCCAGCUAGAGUCCGGAAGAGGAGAGUGGAAUUCCUGGUGUAGCGGUGAAAUGCGCAGAUAUCAGGAAGAACACCCGUGGCUAAGGCGGCUCUCUAGUACGGUACUGACGCUGAGACGCGAAAGCGUGGGGAGCGAACAGG